rnacentral:rRNA from 1 species
UACGAGUGCCCCAAGCGUUAUCCGGAAUUAUUGGGCGUAAAGGGUGUGUAGGUGGUUUUGUUAGUCUUCUGUUAAAUUCUUCGGCUUAACCGGGGGUCUGCAAAAGAAACGGCAAAACUAGAGGAUGCGAGAGGUGUGCGGAACUCAUGGUGUAGGGGUGAAAUCCGUUGAUAUCAUGGGGAACACCGAAAGCGAAGGCAGCACACUGGCGCACUCCUGACACUGAAACACGAAAGCGUGGGUAGCGAAUGGG